GGAUGUGAGGGCGAUCUGGUUGCGACAUCUGUCACCCCAUUGAUCGCCAGGGUUGAUUCGGCUGAUCUGGCUGGCUAGGCGGGUGUCCCCUUCCUCCCUCACCGCUCCAUGUGCGUCCCUCCCGAAGCUGCGCGCUCGGUCGAAGAGGACGACCAUCCCCGCUAGAGGAGGACCGGUCUUCGGUCAAGGGUAUACGAGUAGCUGCGCUCCCCUGCUAGAACCUCCAAACAAGCUCUCAAGGUCCAUUUGUAGGAGAACGUAGGGUAGUCAAGCUUCCAAGACUCCAGACACAUCCAAAUGAGGCGCUGCACGUGGCAAGUCUGCCUUUCU
rnacentral:snRNA from 1 species